rnacentral:misc_RNA from 1 species
GGAAGACAGAAGGGAUGGGAAGGAUAGAGAAAAUGCUUGUGUGGAAAAUUUUUGAAUUAAAUAAUAAAAAAGUGCAAACCUAAAGACAUGUCAUAUUUAUGGUCUAAAUCUAAUUGAAAUCUGGCAUGAAGGAUAUUACUGUGCUUAAAUUGAUGUUUGGGGGGUCUUUUCAUAAAUUGUAGAUGAAUGACUGCAUCAUUACAACCUCAUAUUGCUGGGGGACGGUAGGUAAAAUCUAGCCUUUCUCUAAUAUUUUUUCCCUGUACAUAGGAAAUUAAUGAUAUUAUCUUCAAUUGAUAUUAGGACAUAGGAGGUUGUAAUUAUUAGUGUUAUUACAGUCAUUCUACUUGCAUAUAAAAUGUGUGAUGUUAGAAAUAAAUUUUCAAUUGCUAUAAAUAAAUAGAUCUCUUAUGAUUUUUUUGACAAUUCUUGUGUUUCAAAAUCCAUGCAAGUGUAAGUUAUUAUUUUUCUUUAUGUAGAUCUUCAUUUGUAUCUUUGACAGUGGCAUUUGCAAAAUCAGUUAUUGUCACCUGUAUGGAUCCUGAAUGGUUUUGCUCCUGGUAAAUUUUUAAUGAUCAUGACCAGCCUCUUACAGUGCUUGGGAUUUGACUAAUGCAGGAGUGCUCAAGUUUGCACGAGGA